AGUCGACGGCAGCGCGGGGCAACCUGGCGGCGAGUGGCGAACGGGUGAGUAAUAUAUCGGAACGUACCCAGAAGUGGGGGAUAACGUAGCGAAAGUUACGCUAAUACCGCAUACGAUCUACGGAUGAAAGUGGGGGACCUUCGGGCCUCAUGCUUUUGGAGCGGCCGAUAUCUGAUUAGCUAGUUGGUGAGGUAAAGGCUCACCAAGGCGACGAUCAGUAGCUGGUCUGAGAGGACGACCAGCCACACUGGGACUGAGACACGGCCCAGACUCCUACGGGAGGCAGCAGUGGGGAAUUUUGGACAAUGGGCGCAAGCCUGAUCCAGCAAUGCCGCGUGAGUGAAGAAGGCCUUCGGGUUGUAAAGCUCUUUUGUCAGGGAAGAAACGGCUGGGGCUAAUAUCCUCGGCUAAUGACGGUACCUGAAGAAUAAGCACCGGCUAACUACGUGCCAGCAGCCGCGGUAAUACGUAGGGUGCAAGCGUUAAUCGGAAUUACUGGGCGUAAAGCGUGCGCAGGCGGUUUUGUAAGUCUGACGUGAAAUCCCCGGGCUCAACCUGGGAAUUGCGUUGGAGACUGCAAGGCUGGAGUCUGGCAGAGGGGGGUAGAAUUCCACGUGUAGCAGUGAAAUGCGUAGAGAUGUGGAGGGACACCGAUGGCGAAGGCAGCCCCCUGGGUC
rnacentral:rRNA from 1 species